ACUGAGGUAUCAGGCUGCCACGGUGAGAGAGGCACUGAGGUAUCAGGCAGCCACGGUGAGAGAGGCACUGAGGUAUCAGGCUGCCACGGUGAGAGAGGCACUGAGGUAUCAGGCAGCAGUGGUGAGAGAGGCACUGAGGUAUCAGGCAGCAGCAGUGAGAGAGGCACUGAGGUAUCAGGCAGCAGCAGUGAGAGAGGCACUGAGGUAUCAGGCAGCAGCGGUGAGAGAGGCACUGAGGUA